UUUUAAGUUUUCUAGUAGCCACAUAAUAUUACAUAUUUGGUCCACAUUAUAUUUCUAUUAAAUAUUACAUAUGUGGUCCACAUUAUAUUUCUCCCUUAUUUGGGAGAACAGUGAAGGAGUUUAUGUAGGACAGAGACAUGAUCCAAUUUUCAUUUCAGAGAGAACGUUCUGGUAGGAAAGAGGAUAGAUUGGUGCGAUCUAAGGCUAGAGAAAGGAACGCUAGUUGGGAAAUGAUUGUAAUAGUUUAGGCAUAAGAUAAUGAGGGCCUGCCUUAAAACAGGAGCUUUAGGAAUGGGAUAAUUAGAGAAAGAUAAGGACAAUUAGAGCAUGCAUCAGAUUCCCUGGAGGGCUUAAGAUGCAGAUUCCCUGGCCUCACCCCCAGAGAGUCUGAUUUAGGAGAAAUCGGGUGGGGUCCUAAACAUUUUCAUUACUAACUAGUUUCCAGACACUGCCGCUGCUGGUGGUAGUUUGGAUACCUCACCCUGAAAACCUUUCCUUAUAAUACUUGGUGACAAAUCGGAUAUAUCAAGAGAGGGAGAAGUCUAUGAAGACUUCCAGGUUCCUGCUCUGACUAUCUGAGUAGACAGGGACUAAAAAGAGGAGAAGCUUAUUUGGGAAAGAGUAGGAUAGGUUUAGUUUGGGAUAUAUUGAGUUUGAGGUCCCUUUGGAACUCCUAGGAGGCGAUCUCUCAAGAGUAAUUGUAUAUCUAUGGAUCUGGAACUCAGGAAACAGAUCACACUAUAAUUAAAGAUUUGAAAGUCAUCAGAAUUUAGUUGGCCCUAAGCAUGAGAGAGAUUGCCCAGAGAAUCAGUGCAGUAUGAGAAGGAAACAAACCCCAGGACAGAUUCCUGUAGUGAAGCUCUGUUUUGAUCAAAAUCAUUAGUGUUCAAGAAAAAGAAGAUAGGCAUGAAUUUCCACUUGUCGUUUUUACCCAUCUGCCUCUUGUGUUUGAUCACAGUGACCAAGGUUUAGGUAACAGUUUCAUAGGGCUUCAAGAUCCUUCAGAAGAUUUGAAUCAAUGGUUAGCUGUUUCAUCAAUGAUACAGAAGAAGUUCAACAAAGCCUUUAUUUCUAAAUUUGAUUAUGAAUAAAAUAGGCUUGACCAAAUAGCAGAAACCCCAGAGCUUCAAUUUCUUCAUCUAUAAAAUUGGAACACUGAUACCUUUCUCACAGACUUGCUGGAAAAUGGUGAUAAUGUAUGUGGAGCAUGGUGCCUGAUCUACCCAGAAUAGCAUCUCAAUAAAGGAUUUGUAUGAAGGAAAAAGUUAUACCUCAAGGACUCAACAUGCAAGAGGCCCAGGAGGGGAAUUUCAUUUCGCACGUCCAUUUUUUUCUCAGAGCAAUUUCCCAUCUUUACUACCAGAUGGCGCCCGUGAGCAGUGCCGCCCUUCCCUAUGGCUUUUAUUUCCACUCUUCGGGCGCUAGGUAAUCUUCCUCUCUCUUAGUACUCAGGCUGGCAUUUAAAAUCCAGUGUUGCACACAGACUUUGUGUUUCUAAUCCAUCUGCUCCAUGAAGAACUGUGAAACCCAGAAAUACCUAUUUCUAGCCAGACACCCAUUUCUCCAAUAGGAUUUUUCAGAUGAUAAGGCUUUGUGAUAUAACUAUGCAGCUGGGCAUUCAAAAGAAGUCAAACAACCCUUAAUUAAGAAUCUGGUUUUUUGUACAUUUACCCCCACUAUAAGAGUGUAGAGACUUAAAGGUCAG
rnacentral:lncRNA from 1 species